rnacentral:rRNA from 1 species
AUUGAACGCUGGCGGAAUGCUUUACACAUGCAAGUCGAGCGGCAGCGCGGGGGCAACCCUGGCGGCGAGCGGCGAACGGGUGAGUAACAUAUCGGAACGUACCCCGUCGUGGGGGAUAACACAGCGAAAGCUGUGCUAAUACCGCAUACGACCUGAGGGUGAAAGCGGGGGAUCGCAAGACCUCGCGCGAUGGGAGCGGCCGAUAUCGGAUUAGCUUGUUGGUGAGGUAAAGGCUCACCAAGGCGACGAUCCGUAGCUGGUCUGAGAGGACGACUAGCCACACUGGAACUGAGACACGGUCCAGACUCCUACGGGAGGCAGCAGUGGGGAAUUUUGGACAAUGGGGGCAACCCUGAUCCAGCCAUUCCGCGUGAGUGAAGAAGGCCUUC